rnacentral:rRNA from 1 species
CGAACGCUGGCGGCACGCUUAAUACAUGCAAGUCGAACGAGAAAGUUUCCUUCGGGAGAUGAUUAAAGUGGCGCACGGGUGAGUAACACGUAGGUGACCUACCUUGUAGAAGGGGAUAACAGAGAGAAGUCUCUGCUAAUACCGUAUAAGCUAAGCAAUUUUGGAAGUAGCUUAGGAAAGAUGGCCUCUGCUUGCAUGCUAUCGCUAUAAGAAGGGCCUGCGGGUCAUUAGUUUGUUGGUGGGGUAAAGGCCUACCAAGACUUUGAUGACUAGCCGGUCUGAGAGGAUGAUCGGCCACACUGGAACUGAGACACGGUCCAGACUCCUACGGGAGGCAGCAGUAGGGAAUAUUGCGCAAUGGGCGAAAGCCUGACGCAGCGAUGCCGCGUGAGUGAGGAAGGCUUUCGGGUUGUAAAGCUCUGUCCUAGGGGAAAAACAGCAUAUGUAAAAAUAUUAUAUAUGUAUGAUGGUACCUUAGAAGAAAGCACCGGCUAACUUC